CAGCCGCCGCGGGAAUACGAAGGGUGCAAGCGUUACUCGGAAUUACCGGGCGUAAAGCGUGCGUAGGUGGUGGUUUAAGUCCGUUGUGAAAGCCCUGGGCUCAACCUGGGAAUUGCAGUGGAUACUGGGUCACUAGAGUGUGGUAGAGGAUAGUGGAAUUUCCGGUGUGGCAGUGAAAUGCGUAGAGAUCGGAAGGAAGAUCUGUGGCGAAGGCGACUAUCUGGGCCGACACUGACACUGAGGCACGAAAGCGUGGGGAGCAAACAGGAUUAGAUACCCGCGUAGUCCCUGUCUCUUAUAC
rnacentral:rRNA from 1 species